rnacentral:rRNA from 1 species
UACGUAGGGGCGCAAGCGUUUGUCCGGAAUUAUUGGGCGUAAAGAGCUCGUAGGCGGCUUGUCACGUCGGAUGUGAAAGCCCGAGGCUUAACCUCGGGUCUGCAUUCGAUACGGGCUAGCUAGAGUGUGGUAGGGGAGAUCGGAAUUCCUGGUGUAGCGGUGAAAUGCGCAGAUAUCAGGAGGAACACCGGUGGCGAAGGCGGAUCUCUGGGCCAUUACUGACGCUGAGGAGCGAAAGCGUGGGGAGCAAACAGG